ACUGACUGUGACUUAGGUGGGGCAAACUUGGCCUGGUGUUGGCAUGGCAUCAUGUGGUGAAGAGAUUGGAGUUCAUCAAGAAUCAUGAAGAAAUUGAGGACCUUGGCAUAUCUUGUAGGAUUAAGGUUUUUAGGAUUAGGAUUAGGUUAGUUGAUUUUAGUCAACUGAUUGAUCAAAAAGUCAACAUUUGACCAAAAUCAACUGUAGGCCAAAAGUAUAUAAUUUUGUGCAAAGAUUUGUAAUUUGUUUCUUUUAUGAUUUAAUGUUGUUUUUGGUAAUGAAAAUUGCCUCUUUUUGGAUGAAUGUAACUUGUUUCUCAAGCAACAAUGCUUCCUUUUGAAUAA
rnacentral:lncRNA from 1 species